UAGUUGCUUCGUGCUGCGCAUUAGUUUCAAUGUUUUUGUGUUUUAGUGUUUAUUUCUAUUUUAUUCAAAUUCAGUGCUUUGGUAGACUAAUAAGAAUAGAAGAAUAAUCAAAUAGCAUAAAUUGGCGAUAAAAUUGUUUGCAGAUUUCUGGUGUCGGUGAAGAAAUUUUAUUCAAUAAUAAGGGAGAGCCAUGCAAAAGUUUUGCCGAACAAAAUCUUCCUACAUUUUAUAGCCAUGCAAGGUGCACUGAGUAAUAAUUUUUACCAAAUGCUCCAUUGAGUGCACAACUAAUCUAGCUGAGGUAUUUAUCGAGGGCUGAGUCUGGUCUUUACCGAGAUUGAUCUAUCUUCAAAUCAAAUGGAACUUGGAAUUGAAAUUGAAGUGCAUUAACAGAUACUCAUUGUAAUAAGUUUAUAAUAAUGAUUUCUUUAAAUGUUUCAAAACAAAACAUUAUCAAAUUUGAACUUGAUAUUUAAUACUUGUUGGUCGCCACCAGAAUGAAACCCAUAAAUCAUUAUUGGCUGAGCUUGGGAACUUAUCCUAUGUUAACAAUGCUGGCAAAUUGUUUUUCUCUAUAAAUUAAGUAGUGCACUUGUAUUUAACAUUGCAAUAUUUUUUAAUCACAAAAUUUAUUAUUAAAUUACCCUGGUGACAAUAACAUCAAUUCCAAAUACAAAUUGCUAUCUUCUAU